AUUGAACGCUGGCGGCAUGCCUUACACAUGCAAGUCGAACGGUAACGGGUCCUUCGGGAUGCCGACGAGUGGCGAACGGGUGAGUAAUAUAUCGGAACGUGCCCAGUGGUGGGGGAUAACUGCUCGAAAGAGCAGCUAAUACCGCAUACGACCUGAGGGUGAAAGGGGGGGAUCGCAAGACCUCUCGCUAUUGGAGCGGCCGAUAUCAGAUUAGCUAGUUGGUGGGGUAAAGGCCUACCAAGGCAACGAUCUGUAGUUGGUCUGAGAGGACGACCAGCCACACUGGGACUGAGACACGGACCAGACUCCUACGGGAGGCAGCAGUGGGGAAUUUUGGACAAUGGGCGCAAGCCUGAUCCAGCAAUGCCGCGUGCAGGAAGAGGGCCUUCGGGUUGUAAACUGCUUUUGUCAGGGAAGAAAUCUUCUGGGCUAAUACCCCGGGAGGAUGACGGUACCUGAAGAAUAAGCACCGGCUAACUACGUGCCAGCCGCCGCAGUAA
rnacentral:rRNA from 1 species